UACGUAGGGGGCAAGCGUUGUCCGGAAUCAUUGGGCGUAAAGCGCGUGUAGGCGGCCCGGAAAGUCUGGUGUGAAAACUUGGGGCUCAACCCCAAGCCUGCACUGGAUACUAUCGGGCUUGAACUCCGGAAGAGGAGUGUGGAAUUCCUGGUGUAGCGGUGGAAUGCGCAGAUAUCAGGAGGAACACCAAUGGCGAAGGCAGCACUCUGGUACGUGAUUGACGCUGAGACGCGAAAGCGUGGGGAGCGAACAGG
rnacentral:rRNA from 1 species